AUCUGCUCUUAUCAGUUUGUUUGAUACGUCCCCUAUUUGGGGACCAUAUAAUGAUUUUUGGAACAGGGAGAUGGAAUAGGGGCUUGCUCCGUCCACUCCAUACAUUCACCUGGUAUUGCAGUACCUCUAGCAACAGUGC
ensembl:snRNA U2 U2 spliceosomal RNA